AAGGAGUCAUUGCUGAUGAGUCACAGUCAACAUCAGCUACUCAGUCUAUUAUGGCUGAAACAGAGACGACCAAGUUUGUAUUUCCCAAACUAAUAAACCUCGGAUUGGAUAAGGUGCCGAGAUUGAAAAGUUUCUACUCUAGGAUGCAUACCACCCAGUGGCCUUCAUUGAAACAAAUGGACAUUAUUGAAUGUCCCAAAGUACAGAUAUUAACUCCACAAUGUCCUGAGUGUCAGGUUGGAAUCUCAAACCAACAACCCUUGUUUUGCGUCAACGAGGUGAGCUCACUAAUAGUUUCAUACUCCAUGUUCAUUACUUGAGAUUACCUAUAAAAUGCCUUUUGAAAUAACUAAUAUUCUCACCUUCCUUUUAAAUUUAUGAGAAAUAAAAUGGAAAUGAUAUCCAUUCUGUAGUCUAGUUCUUACCAAUUCAAAACUCUUUGAUCAAUGUUUAAUAUAUUCGUUGCCAUCCAGGACACUUUCCCUAUAUUAGAAGAACUGACACUAAAGACGAAUGAUAUGGUGAAGGGGAUAUGUGAUGGACAGCUCUCAUUGCAGUGUUUCCAAAACCUUAAACUUCUUAACCUCCAAUUGUUUCCUGAGGCAUCCACUACUCUUCCAUAUUCAUUCAUUCGGUCACUACCAAUGCUUCAUAAGCUUGUUAUAGACAAUGCUUCCAUUUGUCAAAUAGUACAAUCUGAAGGACUCAGCUACGACGAAAGGAAUACAUCAGUGUUCUAUCAGCUAAAGGAAUUAAGUUUGUGUCAACUUCCAGAGUUGACGUUAAAGACUUUUGAACCAUCUUUGCUGUCUUUCAAAAAUCUAACAACACUGGAAGUUUCAAGCUGCCAUGGGUUCAUCAAUUUAAUCGCAUGCUCAACAGCUAAGUGCCUGACGCUACUGGAAAGAUUGAGCAUAGAUGAUUGUGGGAUGAUUGAGGAAAUCAUAGCGUGUGAGGCUGAAGAAAUGCAAGGCGGCAUUGUAUUUCCCAAACUGCAGUAUUUGCAACUAAGCUGUCUGCCAUGUCUAGCAAGCUUUUCCUUGGCCCAUCACUUGUUGGAAUUCCCAGUCUUGCUAAUGGUGAAGGUGACAAAGUGCUCCAAAAUGAGGAAUUUCUGCCAAGGAGAUUUAAGCACACCAAGGCUGGAACAAAUGCACUUAACAAGAGAUGAGGAAGGUGAACUGCAGUGGGAAGGCGACCUUAACACUACCAUAAAACAUAUGUUCGAUGAAAUGGUACAAAUCAUUUAAAGGAUUUAAAUUCAUGUGUUUUUACAUACAUACAUAGUUAACUGAAUAAUUCUUGGUUUGUUAUGAUCAUGCACAGAAUGUGCAAAAUUUGGAGGUGACGGAGGUUACUGAUCAGUUGCCCAAGCUGGAAUAAGGAAAUAUGUUUGGGUGCUUAUGCGAAAAGCUCAGUUUCGUUUCAAAUAAAAACAAAUGGUAAUUGACUUCUAUUUCAUUAUGGCUUAACUAAUGCUUUAUAAAGUGACCAUAGAGACGCCCUUUCUAUUGUAGGUUGAGUUGCUCUACUGAAGCACAUGGCUGCAUCUGUUGGUAGAACGUGAAAGGUUAUUUCAGUUUUUGUAAAACUACAAUUUGAACUGUUCCAUUUCACAACAUAACCUCAAUAUUGAAUUUCAAGUGCAUCAUGCAUGACAUUGGGAACUACAAACAUGCAAACUUUUACUAGUAAGGUUGACCCCUGUUUUAAUAUUCGAAUUCUUCUUAAAGGUGGAUGGAUUUGCCAACUUUUGAUGGUUACCAUAUCAAUAUCAGCUUGGGGUUUAGACGAUGUGAUUAAGAUUGCUAUACAUACUGUGUUUGUGCUUGUGUCAUCUUUCUUGUUCUCUCUAUAAAGAUUAUUACGUACUUAUUUCUAUGCAAUCUCACAAUUUUCUGAUGAAAAAAGUUAAAGCUAAUAACUCCAUUCCCAAGUUUCCCAUAUUCAUCCUCACAAAAACAUAAAUGAUAAAAACCCCAUUUCUCUUUUAGUCAAUAGGAGAAACAAUCUAAAGUUAGAAUAAAACAAACCAAUGCCAUGUUUAUAUUGAAUUAAAUCGCAUGCAUACAUGUAUCAAUUGUUCUGUAGUGAACAGCAGUCACGUUAUAUUCAACUAUGGCAUCUCCAUCUUAUUAAACCAAGCUACAAUGUGAUUAUUCAAGUGCUAUCCAUGUGAUUAUUCUUAUAUUUAAAUAUAAUAAGUUCAUUUAAUAAUUUUUAUAAUAAAUAUAAUAAUUCAAUCAAUAUCAAUUAAGCGAAUUUUUAAUCAAUCAAUUGAAUUUAAUCUGAUUAUAAAAAGUCAAUAAUCCAAACUUAUUCAAUUCGGAUUCAAAUGAACUUGAAAGGGAUUUAUUGGAAAAUUCAAUCUUCAAACUCAAGUGAUUUGAAUUUUGUUAGGGAUUGACCCGGUUAAGCAACGAACAAGUAAAAAUAAGGAAAGAAAUUAAGAAAUUGAACACACAAAUUUAACAUGUUAAAACCCCUCCAAAGAGGAUAAAAAAUCACGAGUAAAGAUAAUUUUACUAUGAUGGCAAAAGAAUGAAGAGUAUAGAAGAUGAAGAUAAAAACUAAAUCCCAAAAACCAAAUUCAUAGGUCAAAUAAUAAUAAAAUAAUCUAGAUUAAUCAGAGUUUGAUUAAAAUAAAUAAAUACAAUCUAACUAUUGAUAACAAGUGCUAUCCAUGUGAUUAUUCUUAUAUUUAAAUAUAAUAAGUUCAUUUAAUAAUUUUUAUAAUAAAUAUAAUAAUUCAAUCAAUAUCAAUUAAGCGAAUUUUUAAUCAAUCAAUUGAAUUUAAUCUAAUUAUAAAAAGUCAACAAUCCAAACUUAUUCAAUUCGGAUUCAAAUGAACUUAAAAGGAAUUUAUUGGAAAAUUCAAUCUUCAAACUCAAGUGAUUUGAACUUUGUUAGGGAUUGACCCGGUUAAGCAAUGAACAAUUAAAAAUAGCAAAAGAAAUUAAGAAAUUGAACACACAAAUUUAACAUGUUAAAACUUCUCCAAAGAGGAUAAAAAAUUACAGGUAAAAAUAAUUUUACUAUGAUGGCAAAAGAAUGAAGAGUACAAAAGAUCAAUAUAAAAACUAAAUCCCAAAAAUCAUAUUGAUAGGUCAAAUAAUAAUAAAAUAAUCUAGAUUAAUAAGAAUUUGAUUAAAACAAAUAAACACAGUUUAACUAGAAUAUUAUUUCUCAAAUUUGACUGAAAUAGGAGUUAUACUCAACAAACUCAAACAUAAAAUUAUUACUUGGAUGUGAAUGAUUUGAAUUGAAAUGGUGUGAGGCCCCAUUAUGCUGUCAGCGAAAUCUAAAGAUUGGGGCCCCAAACCAUUCAAAUUCCAGGACUGUUGGAUGCAAGCUAAAGAGUUAGAUCGACUUAUUCAUGAUCGAUGGAAGGAAAUGGAGGUUCACGGCCAGGCAAAUCAGGCCUUGAGAAUGAAACUAAGUCCUUUAAAGUGUUCUCUGAAAAUGGAACAAAAAUUUCUUUUGGUAGUUUGGAUCAUAGAAUCCACUUGAUAGAAAAUGAAGUGGAGGAUGUUGAUAAAAGGGGCGAUAUUUCGGUCAUGACCGAGGAGGAUGUCAACCGUGGAAAAGAGACUACGGGUGAAUUAUGGAAACUUAAUCGUUCUCGAGAAAUCUUAUGGAGACAAAAAUCUAGAGUAAAGUGGAUUGGGGAAGGCGACCGUAAUGCAAGUUUCUUCCAGUGCAAAGCCAAAUUUAGAGCUAGGAGUAAUUGCAUUGAAGGUCUGUUUGCGAGCGGAUUUCUUGUCCGAACUUAGUCAAAAAUGCAAUUUGGGAAUACUUCCGAAAACAGUUCUGUGGCGUUCAUUGGGACAAACCUACUUUAAGGGGUUCGGAUUUUACGAUAUCUUUGCUUCUUCCCAAUGGUCUCAAAGCAUGUUUUGGUGUUUGAGUCUGAUUCAAUGGUUGCGUUGACAGGCCUGCCUCCUAUGUGGCUUGGCUGUUGUUUAUUGCACCUUUGUACUUCAAAAUAAUUUCAACUCUUUCAAUCCGAAUUAAAUUGAUUCGAACUUUAAAUAAUGAGUGAUAAACUUAAAAUUAUCUUAUUAGAAAAUUUAAACUUCAAAAUAAAUUGAGUGACUUAAACUUAAAUUUAACUUUAAUAUGAAACUGAUUUGAAUCCAAAUGAUUUUAAAAUUUCUAAUUUCGAAUUAAUCUAUCUAGAUCAAAAACCAACUCUAGUUAUAGCUUGACCCAUCACAAAAAUAUAAAAGAUAAUUUGAGAACAUAUGAGGCAACUUGUAGGUAUGGUGUAUAUGUAAUUGGAUAAUUACCCUCUCCCUAAAAAAUUAUGUCGCAGCGUACUCAAUUAUAUAUCUAGGGGUUUUUUUUCCCUUUUUGAUGUGGGAUUAAUGACUUUAAUCAUGUGUCCUUAAAUGACUCAGAGUUCGGAAUCACGAGUGAUAAAAGGCUCUGGUGUUUAACAAUCAACUAGACUCAACCAGAGCUCGGUAAUCAGCUGGACGAACAGAGUAAGCGAUAUCAAACAUUAAGCGCAUAAUUUCAGAUUCUUUGGACUCCAGCCGAGCUAAAGCUAACAUAAGCGAAAGCUAUCAUAUCAAACGGCUCGAUGCAUUUGCCGAAGUAUAAUUUGGAAAAUGUUUUGGACUGUUUUGAGGAGCUUGGGUGAUGUUGGCCAUUCAUAACAAAUAUAAAUUUCCCAUGGUUUAAGUGCAUUUGUCCUUUUGUUUCUAUAGCAUGCGAUCUAGGGAGAGGUCGUGUUGAUACAUUGAAUCAAUGGAUGUGAAGAUGGAAGGGAAUGAAUUCUAAGAAAACACACCAAAGUUAUUGAUUUGAUGAAAAAAUAAAAAAAAUGUUGUAUAAUUAUAUUAAAAAUAACCCGACUCGAAAUCUGACCUAGGAUCCGACCCUAUAUAAUAGAAUUCUACAAACAUCCCAUAAAAAAAGAAGAAUCUUCUUCUUUAUGGCUAGACAAGAAUUCUCUCUUCUCCAUCUCCACAUCCGUUGAUCUAAUGAAUCAACAAUCAGCAGUAUUUUAGACUGUAUAUUUGAUUUAUAAUGUAUUAAUUAGUUCAAAUGAUUAAUAUAAUUUGAAAGCAUAUUUUUAAAUCUAAAAAGUAGAAUGGCUAAAUUCUUGAAAAUAAAAAUAGAGUAACUAAGUUUUAAAGGUACGAAAUAAGACCUUCAAGUAUAUUUUAACCUUCAAUUUUUUACUUUAUAAUUUGAUACAAAUAAAUAACCAAUCCAAUGUGAAACAUAAAUGGAUUAUACUAAUUAUUGUAAUAAUUAAAUUUUUUUUAAUGUCGUUUGUGAAAUUAAAUAACAACGUUAAAAGGCUAAUCCUUUUCACAACAUGCCUAUAUCCUCAUUUAAUAAAUGAUUUUAAUUUUGGGUAAACUACAAAAAUAGUCACAUUUGUUUGUCUCAGAUUACAUUUUAGUCACUUAUGUUUGAAAUGUUACGUUUUAGUCACUUACGUUAUCGUUUUGUUACAAAGUGAUCACUCUAUUGUUAAGCUCCGUUACCUCCCUAACGGCGGUCCUACGUGGCAGUCCAAAUGAGUUUUAAUUGUCAACUUGGAUGUCCUAUGUGACAGUCCAAAUUGAAUUUUAUUUAAGUAAAAACCUAUUUUCAUCCCAACAACUAGACAUCCAAGUUGGCAUUUAAAACCCAUUUGGACUGCCACGUAGGACUUCUAUUAGGGAGGUAACGGAUUUUAACAGUAGUGUGACCGCUUCGUAACAAAACGAUAACAUAAGUGACUAAAAUGUAACAUUUUAAACAUAAGUGACUAAAAUGUAAUUUGAGGUAAACAAAAGUGACUAUUUUUGUGGUUUACCCUUUAAUUUUUAUAUAAUUCUUCAUUCAACUUAAUGUAGUUCAAAGUUGAUUAUAGAGGUGAAACUAGGAAUUUUUUUUUUGGAUCAGGGUUAAAUUGUACGAUAGUAAAAAUAUAAUUUUAUCAUUUUAAUAGUCUAUAUUUUUAUAAUUUUUAAAGGAUUAACCAAAAUUUUAUUAUUUGGGGGUUAAAAUAUAAUUUACUAUUAUUAGUUUAAAAAAUUUUAAAGGAUUAACCAAUGUUUGACAGAUUUAGAACUAACAAAUUGUCCAUUGCUAAAAACAUUCAUCACUAAAUGUGUAUCCGAAGAUGAACCUGAAAUUGGCCAACAUGUACAAGCGAGUAACUUGGAGGUUCAUAACUCAUCUCUCCUCAAUGAAAAGGUCAUUUCUUUAAGGGUUCUCCUUUUAAUUUAUGUUGCUUCGAUUGAUCUUAUUCAUUUGAAGUUCUUUCUUUUCCAUGCAUAUUUCAGUUAUUAACCUAAUGAAAUGAUUUAGCAAGUUGUUUUCCCUAGUUUGGAGAAGUUGUGGAUUCAGAAUUGUGAUUCGUUAGAACAAAUUAUUGAGCUGCAAGGAGUCAUUGCUGAUGAGUCACAGUCAACAUCAGCUGCUCAAUCGAUUAUGGCUGAAACAGAGACGACCAAGUUUGUAUUUCCCAAACUAAUAAACCUUGGAUUGGAUAAGGUGCCGAGAUUGAAAAGUUUCUACUCUAGGAUGCAUACCACCCAGUGGCCUUCAUUGAAACAAAUGGACAUUAUUGAAUGCCCCAAAGUACAGAUAUUUACUCCACAAUGUCUUGAGUGUC
rnacentral:lncRNA from 1 species